rnacentral:lncRNA from 1 species
AUCGAUCAAGAGAAACAUAAUACGAUUCAAUGACCAGUGUACUGUAAAUAAAUGGUCCUCUGGCAGCUUGUGAAAAUUAACUCUCCACUUCAUGUAUCAAUUUAUGCAAUGAACCAAAAGGCACUAAAAUAAUAAUCAAUGAAUUUUCAAGGCCAAUGAAAAUUUUAAGGUGAAUUUGAACAUGAGCUGCCAAAUAAUUUUUAUCACCUCAUCAUUUCCCCCCUGAUUUUCCACCAUGAAAUAUUCCGAAUUGGCUCUUGCGUUCAACAGAAGAAUGGUAGAAAAUUUGCUAUGCUUUCCAACGAAUCAAAGAUUGCCUCAAUCGGACCUCUACAACUCCAAAU